UGCAGUCGAGCGGACAGAUGGGAGCUUGCUCCCUGAUGUUAGCGGCGGACGGGUGAGUAACACGUGGGUAACCUGCCUGUAAGACUGGGAUAACUCCGGGAAACCGGGGCUAAUACCGGAUGCUUGUUUGAACCGCAUGGUUCAGACAUAAAAGGUGGCUUCGGCUACCACUUACAGAUGGACCCGCGGCGCAUUAGCUAGUUGGUGAGGUAACGGCUCACCAAGGCAACGAUGCGUAGCCGACCUGAGAGGGUGAUCGGCCACACUGGGACUGAGACACGGCCCAGACUCCUACGGGAGGCAGCAGUAGGGAAUCUUCCGCAAUGGACGAAAGUCUGACGGAGCAACGCCGCGUGAGUGAUGAAGGUUUUCGGAUCGUAAAGCUCUGUUGUUAGGGAAGAACAAGUGCCGUUCAAAUAGGGCGGCACCUUGACGGUACCUAACCAGAAAGCCACGGCUAACUACGUGCCAGCAGCCGCGGUAAUACGUAGGUGGCAAGCGUUGUCCGGAAUUAUUGGGCGUAAAGGGCUCGCAGGCGGUUUCUUAAGUCUGAUGUGAAAGCCCCCGGCUCAACCGGGGAGGGUCAUUGGAAACUGGGGAACUUGAGUGCAGAAGAGGAGAGUGGAAUUCCACGUGUAGCGGUGAAAUGCGUAGAGAUGUGGAGGAACACCAGUGGCGAAGGCGACUCUCUGGUCUGUAACUGACGCUGAGGAGCGAAAGCGUGGGGAGCGAACAGGAUUAGAUACCCUGGUAGUCCACGCCGUAAACGAUGAGUGCUAAGUGUUAGGGGGUUUCCGCCCCUUAGUGCUGCAGCUAACGCAUUAAGCA
rnacentral:rRNA from 1 species